AGGCCUCCACUGAAGAGCACUUCACAUCCCCAUCCCAAGAAGUUACUAAAUGUCUCGAGUUUGAAUUUGUCUUCACAGUCGAAUCAUUCUAAUGGCGAUGGGAUGGACCUUUCUGCUGUCUGCAGUAAACGCAGGAAAGAUUUCUUCCCUCAUGUUAUGGAUGAGGAUUUAUGCUUUCCUACGAACCCACAUGCUGAGAGAGGUCAAGAUGUGGAGAUGCACCAAGUUGGGACCUCAUGGUUGAACGAAUUCACUGGUGUAAUGAAGCAUGCAUGUGGGCCUGUGACUGCUGCGAAGACUAUAUAUGAAGACGACGAGGGGUAUCUGAUAAUGGUGAGCUUGCCUUUUGCCGAUCGACAGAGGGUAAAAGUUUCUUGGAGG
rnacentral:lncRNA from 1 species